rnacentral:rRNA from 1 species
AAAUUGAAGAGUUUGAUCAUGGCUCAGAUUGAACGCUGGCGGCAGGCCUAACACAUGCAAGUCGAACGGUAACAGGAAACAGCUUGCUGUUUCGCUGACGAGUGGCGGACGGGUGAGUAAUGUCUGGGAAACUGCCUGAUGGAGGGGGAUAACUACUGGAAACGGUAGCUAAUACCGCAUAAUGUCGCAAGACUAAAGAGGGGGACCUUCGGGCCUCUUGCCAUCGGAUGUGCCCAGAUGGGAUUAGCUAGUAGGUGGGGUAACGGCUCACCUAGGCGACGAUCCCUAGCUGGUCUGAGAGGAUGACCAGCCACACUGGAACUGAGACACGGUCCAGACUCCUACGGGAGGCAGCAGUGGGGAAUAUUGCACAAUGGGCGCAAGCCUGAUGCAGCCAUGCCGCGUGUAUGAAGAAGGCCUUCGGGUUGUAAAGUACUUUCAGCGGGGAGGAAGGGAGUAA